GUGAGUGAGAGUAAUUGUUGUUUUAAGCUACUGAGUUUGGAAUGGCCUAUCAUGCGGCAUUAUUUGGUAAUAAUUGUCUAAUACACAUGGAAAGACUAAAUCACAAGAGGAAAUUUUUCCUGUGACUUCUAGCAACGGUUACCGUGAUGAAAUUUGGGAACCAUAAAAUCAAAGAAAUCUAACCACCUAGCCAAUGCCUGAGACAUCUAUAUUACCAAAUGUUCUCCAAAUCUGCCAGACUCAGUGAACUCCCAGCGUUAUGGUACACUUGAAAGAGUACACAUGACAAGCCAGAAGGAUGAAAAGAACGUGGAAUGGAUAUGUUGAUUCAUACCUUUACAUAAUGGAAAUGAGCUGAGAAGCCUUUACAACAGCAGGAACACUAGCCAGACUUCUGCCAAUCGCUAAUAUGUGACUUUGAGCAAAUUUCAAAGCCAAGAUGUGGAAACAGAAACUGUGCAUUAUAUAAACAAGGCUUGUUACCUCAGACCCAAAGAGAGCCUUGGUCAAACAAUAGUCAAUCAAUAGUCUUCUCAGCAGGUGGAUCAUAGAUUCAAGGCGACAGAUGCUGAUGCAAAGAAUGAGGACACACAGCUGUUAUGAGACACACAUGCGUACUGCUGGUCAAAGCCAACCAUCUCCCGCUUUUUCAACUGUGGAGCUGAUGCAAUCCCAUGGGGGAACCUGUCUGGUAUCCAGAGGAAAAUAGCAUGGAAUGAGAGUCUUAGGAGAAGUAAGAGACACUUUUUCCCUUGACACUUUUUAAAAGGCUCAUCUUUCUUUUGCUUCUCACUGUCAAAAUCACAAGACUUCAAGAUCUAAGUUACUAGGGCCCACACUAAAGGAAAGGAACCAAGGAGUCUACUUAAUCUAAUUCGAAUCUAAUAGGUAAAAGGAAUUUUCCUGUUGAUACAGGGCCUGUUGAUACAGGUCAAGAAUCCCAGAAAGGAGUUGGGAAUCCUGUCGUAUUAGUAAUAACCACCACUGGAAUUAUAAUAGACAACAGAUACAGAAUUUGAAGAGUCAGGGUCCCAGCCGUCUUUCUACCUCCUUCCAGGAAGCACAAACAAAUAUGGCAUUAAGCCCUGCCAGUAUUGCAAUUUUCAUUCUAACCUGAAAAAAACACUUAGGUCUGUUUAGAGGGCUUUUAAUUCAAACCCCACUGCCACCCCACAACCAAAAAAAAACCCUUCACAAACUAACAAAGUGGAA
rnacentral:lncRNA from 13 species